GGAGGUAUAGCACAGAUGGUAAAAUGUUUGUCAAGCAUGUGAGAGGUCUCGGGUUCGAUCCUCCAUGUCUCCA